rnacentral:rRNA from 1 species
UACGUAGGGAGCAAGCGUUGUUCGGAUUUACUGGGCGUAAAGGGCGCGUAGGCGGCGCGGUAAGUCACUUGUGAAAUCUCUGAGCUUAACUCAGAACGGCCAAGUGAUACUGCAGUGCUAGAGUGCAGAAGGGGCAAUCGGAAUUCUUGGUGUAGCGGUGAAAUGCGUAGAGAUCGGGAGGAACAUCAGUGGCGAAGGCGGCCAUCUGGGACAACACUGACGCUGAAGCACGAAAGCGUGGGGAGCAAACAGG